rnacentral:rRNA from 1 species
UGCCAGCAGCCGCGGUAAUACGGAGGGUGCAAGCGUUGUCCGGAUUUAUUGGGUUUAAAGGGUGCGUAGGCGGUUUAUUAAGUCGGAGUUGAAAUCCCACAGCUUAACUGUGGAACUGGCUCCGAUACUGGUUAACUUGAGUAUGGUUGAGGUAGGCGGAAUUUAAGAUGUAGCGGUGAAAUGCAUAGAUAUCUUAAAGAACACCAAUUGCGUAGGCAGCUUACUGGACCAUAACUGACGCUGAGGCACGAAAGCGUGGGUAGCGAACAGGAUUAGAUA